AAUCUUAACUUUAAAAUCCAGAUUGAAUACCCCAAUUUUUCUAAAAACUCUUUAAAAGUUAUAAUAAAUCAUAAAUAAAUACCCACAAACUUUCAAAGUCUAUAAAAAUCUUCAAAACACCUUAGAAAUCAAAAUACAAUACACCCCCCUAAAUAAAGAAACCAAAUUCAUUUCAGAUAACAGAUUGAUGAACAAGCUACAUAAGACGGUAUGUAGGCUUGGCAAGCAAGUGUUUGGCCUUUGACAAUGACAAACCAAACUUCUCUGUCAUGUUCAAGUCUUGAGGUAGCAUGCCAUUUGGGAGCUCCCAGUUAAAGCAGUGCACCAGCUGUGCCAGUACUAGCCUUACUGUGGUUAGCCCUAAUUGCAUACCCGGACACCCUCUUCGGCCAGUCCCAAAUGGGAUGAGCUGAUAGUCAUGUCCCCGGAGGUCUAUGUUGCUGUUUGUAAACCUUUCCGGAUAGAAUUCCUCAACAUUUUCCGACCAAACAUUGGGAUCCCUUGCAAUGCUCCAGAAAUUCACUAUGAGUCGUGAUUUCUUCGGUAUGUCGUAUCCAUCGAUUGUAAUGUCCUUGAUGGAUUCAUGUGGGACGAGCAAGGGUGCAACUGGGUGUAGUCUGAAGCUCUCCUUGACCACCAGAUUCAAGUAAUCCAGUUUUGGCAAAUCAGACUCUUCUACCAUUCGGUCCAUACCAACCACAGUUUGGAGCUCUUCUUGGAGUUGCUUCAUGAUCCUUGGAUGCCUCAUGAGCUCUGCAAGGCUCCAAAUAAUCGUUGUAGCAGAAGUAUCGAAAGCUGCUGUGAUCAUGUCAAGUAAGAUGGCCUUCACAUUUUCACGAUCAAGAAAAUGAACUUGCUCAUCAUUCGGAUUCAACAGUUGGUUCGUAAACGAAAGCAACACGUCUACAAAGUCCUCAUGCUGGCCUUGUUUUCCACCCUUAGUUUCCGCAGCUUGUUCAUGAUCGUUAAUUAUCUUGUCCAAGAGUUGAUCGGCCGUCUUGCUCACUUUCUUCAAUCGCUUAGUCAAUCCCUGAUAAUUUUUCAAAUUAUGAAAGCAAAAUUAACAUAGAAAAUUAUAUUCAAGGCUACCUUAUACACUAGUCUAUGAUUAAUUGAAUACUUUAUACGAUACUCCAAGAUUUGAUCACCAUGAAAAAGACUACCUUGCUCACUUCAGCAGGAGGCAACAAAUUGAAUCAAAACUGGACCCGUCAACAAUAUAAUAAACUAAUAUGCAGGAGAUAUGGCUCACUAAAUAUAUAUUACCUAGACUAUUAAUAAAAAUAAAAAUCAAUUCUUACUAAAAAAUAUAAAAAAAUCAAUAAAAAUAUAAUAUGCCUAGCUACCCCGAGAAAAGGAAAUCCACUUGAAUUGACAAUUUGGUUUUUGUAUAAGAUGAUUGUUUUACCUAGCAGCUAGCAAAAUACGUCUCUGCACUAGUCACUACUGGCCAUCUCACAUUACUUUCACGAACUUAGUUUCCUAUGUUUGACUUCUAGAUUGUUGAUCCUAAUGUAGUUUGUAGAGACAAAGAAGAUUGAAGAUGUAGUGGGGAUGGUAUGAAAUGUAGUUCGUAGAGACAAAGAAGCUUGAAGAUCUAGUGGGGAUGGUAUGAAAUUUGUGAUAAUUUAGUGUUUGAUACAUGUAAAGGUAGACCAACUCCAAUCCGACUCAUAUAUCAAAUUAUCAAUGCAAUACAAGAAACUAAAGUGUGCGAAUAAUAUCAUCCGAUCCUAAAAUAAAGUGCAUUUGGCCGGAGCUACUAUAUUGUAGGUUGCAUCGGUUCAUAAAUGAAUGAUCGAAGAGAAAUGCCUAUGGGAAAGAGUAGGGAUUAGAAGCUAGCAAACCUGAAUAUCAAAUGCACUGAGGGAAGGAAUGAAAUCAGAAAUAUUGAAAGCCCCGACCAAGAAGAACAUUUCCUCAACGAAGGCUUUCAGAUCAAACUUAUCGUCCCUUUUACACCCCAACACCAUCCUAUACGUUAUGUCCUCAUUCAUCUCACCAAUCUUCUCACUAACAUCCACAACCUCACCUUCCUCUGCUGCUCUCUUCAGCUUUCCCACCAGCCCUCCCAGCUCCUCCUUCCGCAGCGGCGCGAAAGCCUCCAGUUUUGCAGGACAGAAGAGCUGAAGCGUGCAGAUCUUCCUCACAUGGCGCCAAUAGGGACCGUAUUCGGAAAAGGCCAGGCCCUUUGUGCCGUAGGCCAAGUACUCGGAGGCUUGGAUUUUUGGCCGGCUGGCGAAGUUAGUGUCAUGAGUUUUGAGGAAUAGCUCGGCGGCUUUUGGGGAGGAGAUAACAAUGGUAGGAACAUUGCCUAGACGAAGGGACAUGAUGUCUCCGUAUUGUUUGGCCAAGUUUUGGAGAGUUCGAUGGGGAAGGUUGCCUAGCAUGUGGAGGUUUCCGAUUAUGGGAAGUGGCCGAGGGCCGGGUGGUAGUUUUUGGUGUUUUGAUUUUGAGAAGGCAGAGAUGAGUGACCAAAGGCAUGCGAGGAGAACCAGGAGGAUGGCUAUCAUUGUUGGAGGAGUCAUUGUUUCUGGCUUUCUGAUCUGUGUGGAGUUGAGAGUUGAGAGGAAAUAAUGGGGAAGUAUGGGCGAUGACAAGCUCAGCUCAUCUGAUACCAUAAAAGCUAGAGAGAAAGUUUAGAGAAGAAGAUAAGGCUGCAAAUGAAUGAGAGAGAUUACGAGAAGCAUCUGAGGUUACAAGCUUAUAUACAGCUGAAAGAUAAGCACAUGAUAAACACGUGUAGAGCCAACACUGCUGAGAAUAAGUUAAUUAACUAAACAGACUAAUUGUAAUUAGCUUAAGUAAGCACAAACUAGUAACUAAUUAAAGCUCAUAGUCUAACACUGCCGUGAUAUACAUUGUUAACUUAAUCUUUUUCAUCUGAUGACGCAGCCGUAAGAAAAUUUUGGUUUCAAUAGAGGACGACAUUCAACGUUUUUUUGGUCUGCACAGAAAAUAUGUGUGGAGACUGGAGAGUAGGAUCUUAAACACGACUUUUACAAAUCAAGAAUUGUAGUUGUUAGUAUGGACCCUAUUUGGGUAUGUUCCAGAAUCAAGAUAGCAUUAAAGCGAUAAAGGUAAAUGGUCGAUCAUGAGAGCACAGCACAGCUAACAAGUCCUAAUGCUAAUACAUACUAUCGUCAACAGCAUAUGAAGGUGAAUGGUCCAACCUGCCAUCUGCACAAGGAGAAUGGCUUGAUUACGGCAUUAGACUAGUUUUGAAUACAAUCAACAUAUAUGUUACUUCUCAAGGAAAAUUCUAGCCUACAUAUCUGCAUACUAACAUAUCUUGGCCCCCAAUCUACUUCGUUGAUCCCGGCGGCCGAACCGCGCGCUGUCAUUGUCGGCUGUCCAUCAGUCUCCACCCCGACGUCCACCAGCGUUUUAGCAACUCUGACCUAGGUCCAGGCCCUGACUUCCCUCCACAAUGCAAUGGACUGAGUGGAGAACCCCGCCGCGCUGCUCCGCCAAAUCGUGCAUGCAGAUUGUAUUUUGAAGACUAUGGAAUUGAGUACCAUCUUAUAUUUUCUUAGAAGAUACAGAGUUGUACUCUUUAAUUGUUUGGAAGAACACUGAACACUAAAGAAAACAAGCUUAAAAUGAAUCAGCUAGUGGUAUUUGCAUAAUUACAGUUCCGGCCAAAGAAACUUGCUCUUGAAAUCGUGUAUAUGUAACGAACAUAUUGUUACAUAAUAGAAACAACAAUACUGAUGGAAUCGUAUCUUAAUUGCAUUUCGUAUAAUUUUUAAGCUGCAGAAUAAUAGGUGUGGGUGAAUGUUGAGAGCGUAUUCAGCGCACCCGGGUGCGCUGUAUAAUUUUCGGUGAAUAUUUAUUGAAACCCAACAAACUACAUAAGAUUAUUACAUUGAAAAUAUGACCUACAUCAGACGAUUAAGGUUUUUUUUUUUUUAUAAAACAUAAGACGAUAAGUUGGCUUGGCAAGCAAGGGUUUGCCUUUUGAGUUUUGACAUUGAUAAACCAAAAACCUCGCACUCGGACAUGUCCAGUUCUUGAGGUAGCAUGUCAUAUAGGAGCUCCCAGUUAAAGCAACGCACCAGCUGUGCCAGAACCGCCCAGAAGUACCAGCCUAACUGUGGCUAGCCCUAACUGCAUACCUGGACACCCUCUUAGGCCAGACCCGGCCCAAAUGGUAUGAGCUCAAAGUCAUGUCCCAAGAGGUCUACCUUUCUGUUCAUGAACCUUUCAGGAUAAAAUUGCUCCACAUUUUCCGACCAAACGUUGGGAUCUAUUCCAAUGCUCCAGACGUUUACUAUGAUCCUCGACUUCUUGGGUAUGUCAUAUCCAUCGAUUGUAAUGUCGUCGAUGGAUUCAUGCAUGUGGUCCUAGUAAUGGACCAACUGGGUGUAGCCUCAUGCUCUCCUUGAUCACCAUAUUCAAGUAACCCAGCUUCGGCAAGUCAUUCUCUUCCACCAUUCGGUCCAUAUAUACCAACCACAGUUUGGAGCUCUUCUAGCUUGGAGGUUCUUCAUAACCCUUGGAUGCCUCAAGAGCUAGGAAAAUCCCCAAAUAAUUGUUGUAGCUGAAGUAUCAAGAGCCCCCGUGAUCAUGUACGUCUAGUAAGAUGGCUUUCACAUUUGUUCGAUCAAGAUAAUGAACUUGCUCAUCGUUUGGGUUCAACGGUUGGUUCGUUAAGGAAAGCAACACGUCUACAAUGUCAUCAUGCUGGCCUUGUUUCCCACUCCUAGUUUCCGCAACAAUUCAUGGUCGUCAAUUAUCUUGCCCAAGAGUUUAUCGACUGUCUUACUAACUCUCUUCACUCGCUUAGUCAAUCCUUGAUAAAUAACUUACAGAUGCGUUGUAGUAGCUAAACAUCUAAUAAAAGUCAGUAUUACCCCCACCAUCCAAUUUAUUUACGGAUACAUUUUCAGACGUGUUUCCUUUCUGAGAACAUAUUCUGAAAUUACAAGGUGCCGGACAUGCUCUGGUACGGUCGAAAACUUUUGGUGACCGCAGGAAAAAGCCGUAUACGGUGAGGCAAUAAUGACUUUUCGACCCUAUAGUUGUAUGCUAAACACUUACGCACUAAGAUGAAGAGUCAGUUCUGCCCCACUAUCCAGUUUAUUUACAGACGCAUUUCUAAACGUUUCCAGCGUGUUUCCGAACGUUUCUUACGCGUUUCCGAGAACAGAUUAUGUAUCAUAAAGGCACUGAGAACACUCUAGUACGGCUAAAAACUUCCGGGGACUGUCGGAAUAGGCCGGAUACGACGGGAUAUAUAUCCGUAAAUAAGUUGGAUACGUAGAGACAAUAAUGAUGUUGCCUCCCAUAUGUAUACUACAAUUGGGGAGCUCCCAGUUGUGCGUGAACUAGCUGGACCUAACCCAACUGCAAUUAGGCCCAUUUUUAGACCAGACACUCUUUCGCUGAUGAUCCGACCCGACCCAAAUGGUAUCAGAUAAUUUCCAGGGUCAAAAGUGAAAACCAUGAUAGAUUCAAAUUUACAGAGUUGCAGUUACAAUGAAGACCCAGAAUUCUACUCUGCUUCUGUUAAAACCAUUAUUACUACUAUAACCAAUCGUCUCCGACUAGCUGUGGAACCAGAUCUCUGAGACAGAGAGAGGAUCGUUGACCGUUGACCGAUCCAACCAAUGGCUCAGAUCUUCGAGCACUUCGUCGUCUGCGGCAUCGGGCCGGAGAUUCGAACCCUCGACGGCGGCAGAGGAUUCCACGGCUUCGCCGAAAUGUACCUCCCGUCUUUGCUCGACCAGUUCCCUCCCGCCAACCACACUCUCUAUCCUCCUCCACCGCCUCAGCUCCCCACCGUAAGUACCGAAACGACGCCGGUUUUGCUUUGCUCUCUCUCGCCGGAAUCGGCGAAUUCUAAUUUCGGUUGUGGUUUUCUACAGUGUGUGCUGCCAGCUGGCGUUUCGUCGUUUCCGCGGAGCUAUCCCAUUGUUCUUACUGGUAUGAAUGCCUUGAGCUCUCUCGCCUAUUUUGCUUCACUCUGCUCUUAAACGAUGUCGUUUUCUGUAAUUAAUAAAUCUUCUCUUGGAUUCAUUUGGGAGUACUGGAUUAAUUGGAUUUUGGACUCUAGUUACAUUCAUCUUGGCUUGGAAAGGAGCCAAAAGAGUUGGACAUCUGAAGUUGAAUAUGAUGAAUACAAAUUGCUUUAUAGAGUUGCAGGCUUAUUAAAUUACAUCUUAUUGCUGUUUCUAAUUUUCCUUGGUUCUCUCUCAGCGCACCUUCUGUCCUUACUGGUAAAGACCCCAAAUCAGAUCCAUUGGAGCGGGCUGUAAGUCCUAUACUCCUUCUACAUGAUAUCUAGUAGGUUACUUUAGAGCUUUCGUUAGCUAGUGUAAUAUUGUUCAUUCAGGCUGAAAGGGAAUGUAUGGUUUUGAACAUCAAAGUUAAGCUGCAGGUACAUUUUUUUUGGGGUUAAAUAUACAUACUUGUGUACAUUUUUGUUCAACUCUUGUUGUCCUGUUCUACAUUAUCUACUAUUGGUUUUACAGAUGGGAUGAAAAUAAUUGAUGUGCAUGGUUAUGACCUUAUACUAGGAGUUUAUUAUCAUUUCUCUUAACAGAAAAAUUGACUAAAAAAACUCGGUCAAUAAAUUGGCCUGCCAUCUUUUGGUCUCUUUUAGCAUUGUCCAAUGUUUAAAUCCCCAUCAACUGCCACAUCGUUUGCUUAGAUGUGGUGCACCAAACUGUGGGCUAUUUAGUCAAUAUUCAUUCAAUUAAAUGAUUUACUUCUGACUAGUUUUCAAGAUUAAAAACAAGAGAACUAGAAGUAUAGGAUUGAUGGUCUUGAAUCUUGAUACUGUCUGGCCGUUGCUAAAAUGCUAAUCGAUGUGCGUAUGACAAUUACAAUUUUUGGCAUAUAAUAAUGUAAUUAUGUUUGAUGAGCAGGGUCUGUGGCUGCGUCUUCUAAAACUGGGACCUACUGAUAAUCCUCUUUCUUCAUUUGAGUAUGGAACAAUUCUUGGUAUGCCUCUUUGAAUAAUGAACUCUCACAUUUCUUACGAUGAGGCAAACUUCUGAUGUCUAGUUCUUGAAAGUAUAUCUUGCUUGGACCUUACUAUUUUGGCUCUGCAGCUUUAAUUGAAUCGGAUGCAGAGGGGAUUGGUGGCAGUGGGUUUGUUGAAUGUAUAAGGGAGCACAUAAAUUCGGUAUGUUUCUCUUGAAAUAAUUCAUGGUUCUCUCCACCCUCUAGAAGUAUCCAUAAAACAUAAUAUUAAUAGUGGAUUUAUACGCUCUCAGGGAUGGCACUGUCAGUUAACUGAAGAACAAUUUAUUGCUGUGAAGGAACUGGUACAAAUUCUAAGUCAAUAUUCAAAGGAGUGAUCUUAUUUGAUUUAGGAUUAGUAACAGUUUGAGAUUGCAACAUCAAAAGCCAUGGUUAUGUUUUAAACUGUUCUUCACUGAUUCAUCAAUUCCUUUUACUAGUGUUGAUACUAUUUAGUUCAGGAAAAACAUAUAUUGUUCUCAUCAAUAGUUUAACCGCAUGUGGUCUUAAGAGUGUGUGUUUUCUGUUUUGUAGACAAACCAUGAGCGCGAGACAAGUGGGCAGAAUGAUGCUCUGUUUUUGGAAAGUAGGUGCUAUUUUUUCUUGACCGAUGGGUGGAUUCUCAUAGUGAACAAUUGAGUCUAGUUCGAGGAAAUUUUUUUUUUUGUUGAGAUGGUCAUGUAACAUUAAGCAGAGUAUGCUCACAGAUUUUAAUGGUAUAGUUACUUUUAAAUGGUCAUGGUUAUAGUUUGUUUGUUUGUUUUUUUUUUUUCACAAUAUUCAAUCAUGUUUGAGAAAUUGCCAAUUGUGCUUUCAAUAGUACUGAAGAAAACAUUUUAUUAGUUUUUACCCAUGCUUGUGUUGCUCAUUUCGAAUGGAUCCGGAUUCUCUGUUUGGAUAGUUGGAUUUAUGUUGUUUGAAUUUGUUUGGAUGUCUUGUAACUAUUAGAUGAAGUAAGGAUGACAUUACGGUUUUAGAUUAUACUUAAUCUAAUGGUUAGAAAUCAUCCACGUAAAUUUAAGCAACAUAAAUCUAAAUAGAGAAGUCAAAUUCAUUUCGGAUAACAGAUGGAUGAACACGCUACAUAAGACGGUACGUAGGCUUGGCAAGCAAGUGUUUGGCUUUUGACAAUGACAAACCAAACUUCUCUGUCAUGUCCAAGUCUUGGGGUAGCAUGCCAUUUGGGAGCUCCCAGUUAAAGCAAUGCAUCAGCUGUGCCAGAACUAGCCUAACUGUGGUUAGCCCUAAUUGCAUACCCGGACACCCUCUUCGGCCAGUCCCAAAUGGGAUGAGCUGAUAGUCAUGUCCCUGAAGGUCUAUGUUGCUGUUUGUAAACCUUUCCGGACAGAAUUCCUCAACAUUUUCCGACCAAACAUUGGGAUCCCUUGCAAUGCUCCAGAAAUUCACUAUGAGUCGCGAUUUCUUCGGUAUGUCGUAUCCAUCGAUUGUAAUGUCCUUGAUGG
rnacentral:lncRNA from 1 species